GAUGAGCGCUGGCGGCGUGCCUAAUACAUGCAAGUCGAGCGAACGGACGAGAAGCUUGCUUCUCUGAUGUUAGCGGCGGACGGGUGAGUAACACGUGGAUAACCUACCUAUAAGACUGGGAUAACUUCGGGAAACCGUAGCUAAUACCGGAUAAUAUUUUGAACCGCAUGGUUCAAAAGUGAAAGACGGUCUUGCUGUCACUUAUAGAUGGAUCCGCGCUGCAUUAGCUAGUUGGUAAGGUAACGGCUUACCAAGGCAACGAUGCAUAGCCGACCUGAGAGGGUGAUCGGCCAAACUGGAACUGAGAAACGGUCCAGACUCCUACGGGAGGCAGCAGUAGGGAAUCUUCCGCAAUGGGCGAAAGCCUGACGGAGCAACGCCGCGUGAGUGAUGAAGGUCUUCGGAUCGUAAAACUCUGUUAUUAGGGAAGAACAUAUGUGUAAGUAACUGUGCACAUCUUGACGGUACCUAAUCAGAAAGCCACGGCUAACUACGUG
rnacentral:rRNA from 1 species